AACGCACAUUGCGCCCCCGGGUAUUCCCGGGGGCAUGCCUGUUCGAGCGUCAUUUCAACCCUCAAGCUCAGCUUGGUCUUGGGCCCCGCCGGCAACGGCCGGCCUUAAAACUAGUGGCGGCGCCGCCGGGCUCUACGCGUAGUAAUUACAUCUCGCGUCUGGGUCCCGGAGGACGCUGGCCAGCAACCCCCAACAUAUACUGGUUGACCUCGGAUCAGGUAGGGAUACCCGCUGAACUUAA
rnacentral:misc_RNA from 1 species